rnacentral:rRNA from 1 species
GACGAACCACACGAACGUUAUUCGGAAUUACUGGGCUUAAAGGGUGCGUAGGCGGCGCAGAAAGUUGGGUGCGAAAUCCCUCGGCUCAACCGAGGAACUGCGCCCAAAACUACUGUGCUUGAGGAAGAUAGAGGUAAGCGGAACUUACGGUGGAGCGGUGAAAUGCGUUGAUAUCGUAAGGAACACCUGUGGCGAAAGCGGCUUACUGGGUCUUUUCUGACGCUGAUGCACGAAAGCCAGGGGAGCAAACGGGG